GCUGGGCAUGGUGGCGCGUGCCUGUAAUCCCAGCUACUCAGGAGGCUGAGGCAGGAGAAUUGCCUGAACCCAGGAGGCGGAGGUUGCGGUGAGCCGAGAUCGUGCCAUUGCACUCCAGCCUGGGUAACAAGCGAAACUCCAUCUCAAAAAAAAAAAAAAAAAAAAAGAAAGAAAAAAAGAAGAUUUUUUUGAGGCAGAUUCUCACUCAGUCACCCAGGCUGGAGUGCAGUGGCGAAGUCUUGGCUCACUGCAACCUCCACCUCCCAGUUCAAGCAAUUUUCCUGCCUCAG
rnacentral:sRNA from 13 species